AGGUAGGAAUACCCGCUGAACUUAAGCAUAUCAAUAAAGGAGGAAA
rnacentral:rRNA from 1 species